CCUACGGGAGGCAGCAGUGGGGAAUAUUGCACAAUGGGGGAAACCCUGAUGCAGCGACGCCGCGUGAGUGAAGAAGUAUUUCGGUAUGUAAAGCUCUAUCAGCAGGGAAGAAAAUGACGGUACCUGAGUAAGAAGCCCCGGCUAACUACGUGCCAGCAGCCGCGGUAAUACGUAGGGGGCAAGCGUUAUCCGGAUUUACUGGGUGUAAAGGGAGCGUAGACGGCAGCGCAAGUCUGGAGUGAAAUGCCGGGGCUUAACCCCGGGACUGCUUUGGAAACUGUGCCGCUAGAGUGCAGGAGAGGUAAGGGGAAUUCCUAGUGUAGCGGUGAAAUGCGUAGAUAUUAGGAGGAACACCAGUGGCGAAGGCGGCUUACUGGACUGUAACUGACGUUGAGGCUCGAAAGCGUGGGGAGCAAACAGGAUUAGAUACCCCUGUAGUC
rnacentral:rRNA from 1 species